AAGUCGUAACAAGGUUUCCGUAGGUGAACCUGCGGAAGGAUCAUUAUCCAUUUUGAAUACAAGCAAGCCAGGCUGGUUGAGCUAGGUACCCCCUAGCUCCCGCCUAGUUUCUGUAUUUUAUACCCUUGUCUUUUGCGCACAUUUGUUUCCUCGGCAGGCUUGCCUGCCGGCUGGACAACCUUAAAACCUUUUUAAUUUUCAAUCAGCGUCUGAAAUAAUUUAAUAAUUACAACUUUCAACAACGGAUCUCUUGGUUCUG
rnacentral:misc_RNA from 1 species